rnacentral:rRNA from 1 species
UGGGGAAUCUUCCGCAAUGGACGAAAGUCUGACGGAGCAACGCCGCGUGAGUGAAGACGGCCUUCGGGUUGUAAAGCUCUGUGAUUCGGGACGAAAGGCCAUAUGUGAAUAAUAUAUGGAAAUGACGGUACCGAAAAAGCAAGCCACGGCUAACUACGUGCCAGCAGCCGCGGUAAUACGUAGGUGGCAAGCGUUGUCCGGAAUUAUUGGGCGUAAAGCGCGCGCAGGCGGUCACUUAAGUCCAUCUUAGAAGUGCGGGGCUUAACCCCGUGAUGGGAUGGAAACUGGGAGACUGGAGUAUCGGAGAGGAAAGUGGAAUUCCUAGUGUAGCGGUGAAAUGCGUAGAUAUUGGGAGGAACACCAGUAGCGAAGGCGGCUUUCUGGACUGCAACUGACACUGAGGCACGAAAGCGUGGGUAGCAAACAGG